GGAAGGAAAGAUAUUCCAAAUGGAAAAAUGCUACUUUGCCCGAAAAUGUUUGACACUCGGGGCGAUCGACCUUCACAAAGUGUACAGGUCCCACAUGAAUUAAAUAAUGUCCGACCCUCGAGGUGAGUGUUCGGUCAUUGUCUAUGUCAACCAUUAUGUUCCCCUAACUUGAUCCAUCUCGCUCGUUGCUCUUUCACACUAUGACUACUAUUGGAACUUACAUGCAUGUCACGCAUAUGCGGAUUGGCAUCUUAGAUAUUUUGUUCCGUUUCGGCAAGUGGACAGAAUGAAGUGGAAGAGCAAAGAUUUUUCGCCCUUUUUAGGUGGACGAAAUCAAAUAAAACAAAUUUCAACGUCAAACAGUGAGGUCGAGAGGUCACGUCUAUUUGUAAAUCGAAAAUAGUACAAGCCCAAGGGCAAUGAGUACAUAUUGCCAUAUGUAAAUGGACAUUUUGAAACGACGGGAUUGAUGUAAUCAUCACUUUAAAAGGUUUGUUGGGUUAAAUAUAAAUUUCUCACCUACUUAUCCCA
rnacentral:lncRNA from 1 species